AUUGAACGCUGGCGGCAUGCUUUACACAUGCAAGUCGAACGGUAACAGGGUGCUUGCACCGCUGACGAGUGGCGAACAGGUGAGUAAUGCGUCGGAACGUGCCGAGUAGUGGGGGAUAACGCAGCGAAAGUUGUGCUAAUACCGCAUACGUACUGAGGUAGAAAGUGGGGGACCUUCGGGCCUCACGCUAUUCGAGCGGCCGACGUCUGAUUAGCUAGUAGGUGAGGUAAAGGCUCACCUAGGCGACAGUCAGUAGCGGGUCUGAGAGGAUGAUCCGCACCACUGGGCCCGAGACACGGCCCAGACUCCUACGGGAGGCAGAAGUGGGGAAUUUUGAACAAUGGGCGAAAGCCUGAUCCAGCCAUGCCGCGUGUCUGAAGAAGGCCUUCGGGUUGUAAAGGACUUUUGUCAGGGAGGAAAUCCCUAGCGUUAAUACCGCUGGGGGAUGACAGUACCUGAAGAAUAAGCACCGGCUAACUACGUGCCAGCAGCCGCCGUAAGAC
rnacentral:rRNA from 1 species